rnacentral:SRP_RNA from 3 species
AAAAUCUAACGGCGUUACGCUGGCGAAAUAUGUCAGGGCGGGAACGCAGCAGCAUUAAGUCAGUAGUGCGGGUGUUAGAUUCCAAC